rnacentral:pre_miRNA from 1 species
AUAGGAAUUAUCUGGGGAUCUUGUUAAAAUGAAGAUUCUAACUCAGUAGGUCUGAGUAGAGCCUGAGAUUCUGCAUUUCUAAUUAGCUCUCAGGUAUUGCUGAU